rnacentral:rRNA from 1 species
UACGGAGGGUGCAAGCGUUGUCCGGAAUCACUGGGCGUAAAGGGCGCGUAGGCGGCUCGGUAAGUAGGGGGUGAAAUCCUGCGGCUCAACCGCAGGGCUGCCUUCUAAACUGUCGAGCUCGAGCACGGUAGAGGCAGAUGGAAUUCCAGGUGUAGCGGUGAAAUGCGUAGAUAUCUGGAGGAACACCGGUGGCGAAGGCGACAUCCUGGACCGGUAUUGACGCUGAGGCGCGAAAGCCAGGGGAGCAAACGGG